rnacentral:lncRNA from 1 species
GCAUGGCAAAAAAUUUCAACUAUAUUUUUCAUUUCCAAACAUUCAUUCGGUUAUCAGACCUAUUUGAUCACUUUAGAAAUUUUCUUUUUCCUUAUUCAAAUGGUUUAUAUGUUCAACCUCAUCUUUCAUUUAACUAUAUUAAAAGUAUUUAUUUUAUAAUCUGUAUCUCAUAAUAUUAAUAUGGGAGGACUCUUUUUUCCCCCUGUUGUCUUAUCACAGUGGUUUCUUAUUUUUGUUUGGUUUGGUUUUAAAUUUUUGACUGUGACAGCUUAUUCCUUGGACUUUUGAGAGAAUUCUUCAGCAAAGACUUGCAUUUAAUUCCAUGGAUGCCAAGGGGCACAGUCAUUUUAAACAAUAUUAAAUGAGUUUGAGACCACUUGGUAGUAUGAAACCAGCAGUGCUAAACAGUAUUUUUUUUCUAAUUCUCACUUUGAUUGCUUCUUUGACAGAUGAGUUAUUUUAAAACUUCAUUGUUUUUAGCUACCCUCGAUUAUUCUCCAUGAGCAUUCUGCAAGUGAAACUUUAUAAGUACAACCUUACUCAGGUCUUGGUUAAUCUCCUGCCUACUAUACUAGAAAAACCAGUAUGUGUAGUCUAUAGCACCGAUGUCUCUGCACUUAGGGGAGAAUGCUCUUUAUCCUUUGUAUGUGUAUGUGUGUCUUUAAACUGUAUGUAGUGGCAUGUCUAAUCCAGAUCUUACAAAGUUAUUCCAGAGGAAAAUUUACAGACAAAACCUCCUAAGGAGGACAUCAGUGAUGAACUGAAUCACCUAGUUUCACCUGAAAACAAUGGAGUCCAUUGACUCAAGGCAGUCAAACAUGCCUCCUCCGAGGACACAGAAUUGAUUUGUUUAAUUUCUGAAAGGUCAUCUGCCCUGGGAAAGGGAAGGGGAAUUCUGCAUUCUCGUCCACGGUCUGUAACCUCAUCCCUGACAGCUGCAGGGACACAUGCACGGGAGGACUCGCUCCUUCCCCUCCUCCCACCUCCUGCCUUGCAUUCACACAUAGCUGUGUGGCAAUUUUCUUUUAUCACCAUGGCCUGGGAUGGGCUUUACUUGCUAGGCAUCAUGUUCUCCACAGAGGCUUCCCAUGGGAAAGUCUUUCUCAGGCCCUUCAAAUCACCAGACCAGGCAUUUUUUUCCCAUCUUGAGUUCAUUCUCAGAUUGACCUCAGUGCAUCAACAAGUCUUGAUGAGUGUACCUAUCCAUGCCCAACUCUGUCUGAGUCAGUGCCUUUUCAUACUGUCUUAGACAUUCCCAGUUCCAGAAGGCAAAAUACAAGGCAAUAGAGCCCAAAUCAAGCCAAAGCCAGGCUCCCAUGAACCUGUACCUUGAAUGCUGCAACUGCCUCCUAACUUACCUCCCUGGUUUCUAUCCCUGGGACCACUCCAAUGCAUUUAUGCAUGUCUGCAAGAGUAACUGACCUAAAAUUUAACUGUACAUACUUAAAUGACCACCAUCCCCUUUCCUCCACCAAGAAUUUUCAGAGGAUCCUCUUUGCUUAGAAAAUCAGGUAC